rfam:Gossypium raimondii Chr08_contig_212, whole genome shotgun sequence.
AUUUCUUUUAACAUAUCAAGAAAUCGAAUUGGCAGUGAAGAAAGAAGUGGGAGGUCGAAAGCCAUCAUUGCCUAUAAUCAAAACUCAUAAACCUAUACGAUGGUUCUUUCUUCAUUGCCAAUUCGACUUCCUGAUAUGUUAAAAGAAAU